rnacentral:rRNA from 1 species
AUUGAACGCUGGCGGCAGGCCUAACACAUGCAAGUCGAGCGGUAGCACAGAGAGCUUGCUCUCGGGUGACGAGCGGCGGACGGGUGAGUAAUGUCUGGGAAACUGCCUGAUGGAGGGGGAUAACUACUGGAAACGGUAGCUAAUACCGCAUAACGUCGCAAGACCAAAGUGGGGGACCUUCGGGCCUCAUGCCAUCAGAUGUGCCCAGAUGGGAUUAGCUAGUAGGUGGGGUAAUGGCUCACCUAGGCGACGAUCCCUAGCUGGUCUGAGAGGAUGACCAGCCACACUGGAACUGAGACACGGUCCAGACUCCUACGGGAGGCAGCAAUGGGGAAUAUUGCACAAUGGGCGCAAGCCUGAUGCAGCCAUGCCGCGUGUGUGAAGAAGGCCUUCGGGUUGUAAAGCACUUUCAGCGGGGAGGAAGGCGUUAAGGUUAAUAACCUUGGCGAUUGACGUUACCCGCAGAAGAAGCACCGGCUAACUCCGUGCCAGCAGCCGCGGUAAUACGGAGGGUGCAAGCGUUAAUCGGAAUUACUGGGCGUAAAGCGCACGCAGGCGGUCUGUCAAGUCGGAUGUGAAAUCCCCGGGCUCAACCUGGGAACUGCAUUCGAAACUGGCAGGCUAGAGUCUUGUAGAGGGGGGUAGAAUUCCAGGUGUAGCGGUGAAAUGCGUAGAGAUCUGGAGGAAUACCGGUGGCGAAGGCGGCCCCCUGGACAAAGACUGACGCUCAGGUGCGAAAGCGUGGGGAGCAAACAGGAUUAGAUACCCUGGUAGUCCACGCCGUAAACGAUGUCGAUUUGGAGGUUGUGCCCUUGAGGCGUGGCUUCCGGAGCUAACGCGUUAAAUCGACCGCCUGGGGAGUACGGCCGCAAGGUUAAAACUCAAAUGAAUUGACGGGGGCCCGCACAAGCGGUGGAGCAUGUGGUUUAAUUCGAUGCAACGCGAAGAACCUUACCUGGUCUUGACAUCCACAGAACUUUCCAGAGAUGGAUUGGUGCCUUCGGGAACUGUGAGACAGGUGCUGCAUGGCUGUCGUCAGCUCGUGUUGUGAAAUGUUGGGUUAAGUCCCGCAACGAGCGCAACCCUUAUCCUUUGUUGCCAGCGGUUAGGCCGGGAACUCAAAGGAGACUGCCAGUGAUAAACUGGAGGAAGGUGGGGAUGACGUCAAGUCAUCAUGGCCCUUACGACCAGGGCUACACACGUGCUACAAUGGCAUAUACAAAGAGAAGCGACCUCGCGAGAGCAAGCGGACCUCAUAAAGUAUGUCGUAGUCCGGAUUGGAGUCUGCAACUCGACUCCAUGAAGUCGGAAUCGCUAGUAAUCGUAGAUCAGAAUGCUACGGUGAAUACGUUCCCGGGCCU